rnacentral:lncRNA from 1 species
ACACUCAAAAUAUGCUGCAAAAGUUCAAGAAGGAGAGAGAGAGACCACAUCUAAUUAGAAAAGGCCUCUGGAAGGUAAAUCUAGAUGCCAUGUAUUUUCAUAAUGUUGGUCUUUGUCCUUUGUCACCCCACUCUACUGUCAUGCUUCAGAAACUUGACUUUAUUUUCUCUAUCUUUGGAGCUCUCAAGAACCUGACAGAGAGAACAUCUUAUGGUAUAUUCAGGGAUGAAGUGAACCGGCUCAACGACUAACAAACCCAGUGGAUUUUAACAUUUACCCAGCCCAACGAGGUCCAACUAUCUUUAGGUUAGCACGACAUAUAGGACUUUCCCGGCCCAAGAACUCCCUCGGAACCCCCAAGGAAGGAACUUUCACUGAGCAUGCACUAAGUGCCAGACCCUAAGUGCUAUGGGUCGCUUAAUCCUCACAACACUUUUUCAAGCUUUAAGCCUGUUUUACAGAUGAGGACGCGAAGGCUCAGACAGGCCGGUCUCACCUCAGAGAAGCCACCACUGCGCGUGGGCUCUCCAGCCCCUCACGUCAUCACCCUAGAGCCUUGCUAACCUCCACCUCGCUCACCUCUCUCCCUCCCUAGGCUGCCAACCCAACUACUCUCUCCUCCCACGCCUCCACCCAGCCAGAAAAACCCGGGGCGGGCGGGGUCUGUACCUGAGCCCGCUCUCAACGCGGCUUCCGUGUCAGGAUGCUCGCUCACAAGUAUGCUCCUCACAAGCUUGAAAGCCUUUGCCCAAAGCGUCUCCAAAGAGCCUGCCCAGGCUUCCCCCCGACCCAGGUGCUUCCUCCCCUGCAGAGCUGUGGCGGGGUUCAGACCCCGAUUCCGGGAGGGGACACCUGUCGAGGAAGGGCGGGGCUGGGGGCCAGUGGGGCCGCGGCGAGGCGCCGCCGGGAACUACGCUUCCCAGCCUGCUCCGCUGCAGCCGCGCGCCCCGGCGCCGCGCCCGGCCGGGAGCCGCCUGUUGAUCGCCGCUCUCGCCCCGGCCACGGCGCCGCCCCUGCUCUCCCGGCCCCGCUCCACCCGGGCUGACGGACUGACGGCCCGCACCGCCGGCUCCAGGAUGAGUGCACGGACGGAAAAGAGAAGAUGCAUACUGAUGGAUCAUCGUUUGAAAAAGAAAUACACAAUAGAAGAAAUGAGAGAAUCAGAAAUUCGGCACUCUGCAAACCCUAACAUGACAGUUGACUAAGGCAAGGACUUACCAACUGGUCCAAAACCUUUGAGUGAAAAGUAGUUGGGGAAUAGGAUUUUCAUAUUAUUUUAAAGUAUCUCACCACAGGUUACUCUGGGAAAAUUUGUCCUUACAAUGGAGAAAUUAGGAGGUCACCACUGGAACUAAAUGACCAAGUUUAGCAGCAUCUACUGUGAGUCUCCCAUCAUGAAGCAAUAAGGAGGCAUAAUUUCACCUCUGUAGUGUUCCUACCAAAAAGACUUGGGGAUGGGACAGAGCAAAUGGGGGGCAACUAUUGUAGAUUAAAUACUCGAGUGAUACAACAGUGAAUUGGGAUGUAUGAACUUUGAAUCCUAGACAAGAAAAAAAAAAAGCUGUAAAAGACAAUUUGGAGAUAGUGACAGCUAGGUAGGGUGCAAAUCCCUUGCUGCAGAGAUAUUUUUGCUUUUCCUGGAUUGUAUGUGUAUAUGUAUACAUGAAAAUAUUAAUUUAAAGUAUACAUAUGUACUUGCAUGAAUGUCUGUGUGUAUCUGUGAAUCUCUCAAUCAGUAUUCCCCAAAAUAUGUAGAAUGUUAAUGGGUUACAAGAAAAAGAAAGUGCCUAGCCAGAUGUGAAAAAUACUGAGCAAAGCUGGAAAAGUUGGUUUAUUCUUGACUUUCGGAGCCUUUCGUGGGUUAAUGAUCAUUGUAUGUGGGGAUGUAAAUGGGGUGGGAAUGUCCAUAGGAUAGGAUAUGUAAUGUUGUAAUGUUUCCCAAACUGCGUGCAAAAAUAAAAAAUGAAAAAUAUCUUGAGGGACUGUCA